UACGUAGGGGGCAAGCGUUGUCCGGAUUUAUUGGGCGUAAAGAGCGUGUAGGCGGCCAAGUAAGUCUGCUGUGAAAACUCGAGGCUUAACCUCGAGCUGUCGGCGGAAACUAUUUGGCUAGAGUCCGGAAGAGGAGAAUGGAAUUCCCGGUGUAGCGGUGAAAUGCGCAGAUAUCGGGAAGAACACCCGUGGCGAAGGCGGUUCUCUGGGCCUUACCUGACGCUGAGGCGCGAAAGCUAGGGGAGCGAACAGG
rnacentral:rRNA from 1 species